rnacentral:lncRNA from 1 species
GUAUGCAGAUCAUGACCAGAAGUUCCUUGAUCCUCAUCAUACAAUUAUAUCAGGACUUGAAGAUCCUUGAUGAUGAUGUUAAUAUGAGAGCUGGCAGUCUCUCCGGUACUAUAUUUGUAAACAUGUGAUUGGACUUGAGGGUCCUUGAUCCCUGACAUGUAAAUAAGGACCUGGGGUUCCUUAAUGAUGUAACAGUACCGUAU